AGGAAAUCCUGCCAUGUCACUAGUUCCUCUGAUGAGCAGAGUAUAAUAAGCAACAGAUUCACUGAGAAAAUGCUUCCUAUCUGUUAGAAGAAUUUGACAGUUUUCAAAUGGAUGAUGCAUGAUUUAGGUUUGUUGACACUGAGUGAGCAGCACCUGAGGAACUUCAGAAAGUGCCAGGAUUUUCAGUGGAGGAAGGCAGGUUCCUGCUGCGUCCAUACAAUGUUGCUGACCAGCAGACUGGUGGAUACAUGAAGAAAACUCCUGCAUCCCUUCAAAAUGGGUUGGGUACAGGCUGUGAGGAGGAUCUGCGUAUAUCUGAGAAGGCCAUAACUGAGAUAAUCAGAAAUCUCCCAUGGAAUACAGAAGUGAACACUUCUGAGCUGCACACCACAGGGGACAUACAAUUCCAAAAAGGGCAGAGAUAGAUGGAAAAGUGGAGUUUCAACCUUUACAGAUAAGAAUGUGUAUCCAUUUAAUAAUAAUAAUAAUAAUAACAAACUAAAAUAUUUUCAGAAAAUUGAAGUCUCAACAACAGCUCACAGGAGCUAUGGAGCAGCAGAUAAUUAUUCUAUGACCAUCAACAAAAGUGAUGGCCCAGGAACCAAUGCUGCCACUUGAUAGCUACAUACACAUAAAAGGCCAGUGCAAAGCUUUGGCUUCUUUGACUUGCUUCUUUACAAUAAAAGAAAUUACUGCUUAAAGGUAAAAAAUUGUGAAUUUGAAUGAAAAAGAGAAAACACUAUAAGAGGACAAGAGAGGAAAAAGAAAGGCUGGGGAGAUUAGGAAAGAUAACAAUGCCUCUUCUACCGGUAAGUUGAUUGUACAAAUAAAAUCGGCAUUUCUACUCUCCCACUUGUCUAUUUGCAUUUCUCCCCUCUCUUCGUACAGUAAAUAUAUACUUGAAGAAAGAUGCUCUAAUUUUGGUGUUUAUUCCCUGCUCAUUCUGAGUACAGUCUCUGUGGUGAGGCUAUAUUGUACUUGUUUGUAACAAUUAAAAUAAUACUGCUUUGAACUGAAUUUGCUAAGCUCAGAACCUGGGAAAAAGUGCAAGUGGAUUUAAGGAGUCACUUUUCUCUUUCCUGGCCUCUUCACUGUUGCACCCCCUGCUUCUCCAUUCUUAGUGGCAUUAAAGAUUCACCCAGCCUCAGAGACAUCCUCUGACAGGCUGCAGACCAUGGUGAUUUUCCCACUGCUGUUUUUUUGUUUGUUUGUUUUGUUUUGUUUUGUUUUGUUUUCAGACCAGUGGCCCUCCAGACACAUUGCCCUGCUUCCAGAAGAUGCAAAAUGCUUCAAUCUGUCAGCCUGCAGAACAAGAGCCAGCCCUGUGUUUGCUGAAGCUUUACUGUGUCAUGUGAAUUGUCAGAGCAAGCUUGCAGGUUGCUGUUGUUUCUAGAAAGAGCUGUGAAGAUGCCAGGGCUUGCGGGAGAAUCUGCCCUUACCUGGCCUGAACUCUAAGGCUAAAUCUUCAGUGAACUGCUACAAAUUCACCCACAAAAGAUGGAGCACUUCUGGUUUCACAUGUGAGCACAGCCUUUGCGUGAGUAUUGGUGCACACAUGCCAGGGCACUGGGCCCAAAAAGUCUUGUGGGAGCAACUGGAGUUUUUUGUAAGUAGAGGCAUCUUUAUGUGAACUGCUAGAAAGUCUUGUCCUUGAGUCCAGGUCAGCUAAAUUGGAUUUCCUUGGGAAUAUAUGUCUUAAGAAUAUGGUGGAAAAGAUCUAUCCAGAACUGUUUCUUCUCCAUCAAACCAAAGGCAUGACUGUAUUUUUCUCUUAAAGUUUCCUGUCUCUCAGUAUGUUGUUCACUUACAGUCUGCUAGUAGGUCUCCAUUCUCUCACUCUGGCCUUUCCAGCAGGAUCCCUCAAAUCUUAUCCCCCAGGAAAUGCCCUUCCUUCCAGAAUUCUCAGCUUGCUCUUUUGUUUUGACACACUUCACCUGAACUCUGCUUAUUAAUGUAAAAUAAAAAAGACAUAACUUGCAUUAUAUACUCACAGGAACACCAGCAAAUUCUAUAUAUAUAUAUAAAAAAAAAAAAAAAGACAUGGGAAACAAAGAAAAGAAUUGAAAUGAGGUGCUUGAAAGGUUUGUGAAAGUGUGAAAAGACUUUCUUUGGCUGUCCAAUAUUUGUCAUUCAUUUAAUCAAUUAAUUUACUUCUCACAGCCAAAACACUGCCAUUAAAAAGGCUUACUCAGAUGCUUUACCCUGUUCAUAUUGAUUCAUUUUCAGUGAAAAUAUCAAUAUCUUUGUAUAGAUCUGGACCUUAAAGUUACUUAAUUAUUGAUUGUGAAACAGUUGCUCAGACUGAGCAGGCGGAUUUCUGCUGUGUUCAACAAUAAUAAGAAACCAAGCUUUUGCAUGGAUAGGCAUUGUUUAGGACCAUUAUUAUUUAGUGUAUUUCUUGUCAGAGGUGAGCAGAAGUGUACCAGAAUGACUUUUCUGUGACCUAGUGUGGUCAACACUUCCCAUUUCAUUCAUCAGCUACUGAAAACUAAAUUAGAGAACUGUCUACCCUUUUCAGUAAUUGUUUCUUACUGUCACUCUGAAGACAGAAUGAACUUUCCUGGUGAAAACAGUAAAUAAUACAUUCAAAUCAUGUUGCUUUUCUGGCAACCUCCAAGUAUAUUUUUGAAAGCCUAAGGACUAUUAUAUGUUGAGACUUAAUUGAUUUAAAUAUUUGGUGUUUUUGGUGACCUGUGAGUUCUGCUGAAACUACUGAUAGUAAAAUUUUUGUAAUCAGGAAUCUGAGAUGAACAAGGUUGAAGUUUUAUCUAAUUCUGUAUCUAAUUUAUUCCUCCUUUGUAAAGUUUUUGUAAGAAAAUUUGGUGCUUUGACAUUAUCCAGAAAAGAAAAAGAAAAAAAAUAUCUAAUGGCUAUGACUGUAAGUAAGUGUGGAGCACAAAGCUGGGCCCCAAGAUUUCCUUGGGGAAAGAAAAAAACUUCCUGCUGUGAAUAUAAAUAAUGUUCUUCUGUGUAGCUCCUGAACAAAGGUAUAUCAGAAUAACUAGAUAUAACCUAACUCACCCAAUGUCUCUGUAGGGCUUUUUACACCUUAGCCUCUUGCACUCCACAGUCAUCGGCUGAAUGGCUGGUUGCAGACCCUGUGUGUGACAGCCAGCGCUGGCUCAAGGCUCCUCAGCAAUGCUGGCAAACCUGAAUCUUGUCACCCCAAGAAUGAGGGGCUGGGGAUGAGGCUGAAGCCCAGCCCUGCAUCUUGUUGGAAGGGGAAGAAAGUGAAGAAGGACCAAAGCUGAGUUCUGCCCUACAGCUGUAUCUAUCUCCUACACGACUCAGUCAAGUCUUUUCUUUGGUUGCAACACCAGCACAAUCCUGUAUAUCUAAGGGUCUGGUGUAGAGCAGUCAGCUAGUGGCAAGGAGCAGUUUUACUGUGGCACCACAGCUUUGCCAGUGUGGUGCCACAGGUGGCUGCUCUUUCUGUCCAUGCCUAGAGGUGAGUGUGUGGCCAAAGCCUUAGAAAUAUAGAAGCAAUCAUCCUAUAUCAGCCAUGUCUUGUUUCUGACCUGGGGCAAGAGCAGAUGUUUCAAAAGAAGUAAGAAAUGAUAGCAUGAAUAAUACACAAUAGUCUGCUUAUCGUGACUAGUGUGGGAAAUAGAAAUCUGCAAUUUGCAGAAAAAAUGACUGUUCUGGAAUGUUUCCCCCCGCUGAGAAGAUUUCAGUGUAAUUAGUAUGAAUGACUCUCUGGUUUGUUUUUCUUUUUUUUCCACAUAAUUUAGGAAAGACAACCAUUCAUUAAUUCAAAAUGCACAAACGCAGUUGAGAG